CACCACGAUCAUCGUUGGCAUAUGAAAACUGAAAGUAGCGUAUGUUUAUCGGGAGGCUGGGGUGGCUUAUUAGUUUAAUUUAGCUUUGUUUAAGCUUAAGCUUAACUUGUUUGUGUCGGUUUAACCAUAAUCCCUCUAAAAAGUUAAAGUUUUUAAUCAUGAGUUUUCAAAAGUUUUAGAUUCAAAUUUUUUUACAUUUAUGUUGUUGUUUAAACAUUCUUUUUAGUCCAAUAAUAUGCCCGAAUAGUUAUUUGGCGUUGGUUGAAACUACCGCGAGGUGUGGAUGCGCAAAUUCGACAGUCGCCGUUUGUCACUUUUCCUCCGCCGCGUCAGGCGCGGUAGACCUAAGAAUAUAUAGCGCCUCUCCCUUCUCCUCCACUGCCGCUGGAUGCGUAUACUUCCCCUACGCUCCUUUUCUAGAUGCGUAUAGUUCGAUCGCAGGCCGCAAGUGGCGUCAUGAUCGAAUUCGCCACGCAUUUUUAACACGGCAUCGGCAAUCUCUCCUCUAAUCUCUGGUCGCAUCCCAAAGUAGCAACACUCUUUCGAAAAAAUUAAAAACUGCAAAGAUUUUUUUUCUGUAUGUUUGAAACGUCAGGGUUGGCGUUGGCGACUGAAAGUGCAGAUAACGCACCUAGUGGUUAACUACAUAGGCCGCACCGACUUAAGCAUCAGAAAGCUAUAGUCUAUUGCGCGAGAGUUAGGCUAGGCAUCUAAACAACAUGUAGGAAUGAAAAUUCUUUCAUCUAUUGCAUAAUCCAUGUCAAGGAUAAGAGUUAUUACGAUAAAAAAAUGUUUGUUUUCUCGAACUCAUGUCUAAACCUAACUACCCCGAAUGGAAAUUGAAAUCGUACGUUUUUGUUAUAUUACGGGAUGCUGUUGUAGAUUUUUGUACGAUGCCGUAUGUUCACAUUGGGAGUUUAAACUUGGUUCGCGCGCUCGGUUCGCGCGCUUGAAGGUUAACAAAGAUGGCAGCCAAAAAGUCUCCGAAAUACACAGAGCUCUUAUGGAGCUUCAUUAAAAAAUGUCGAAAUAUAAACUUUUACACGAUAAAAAAUCUUGUCAGUGUCCUUACACACUCCGUGUGAAUAGAGUGAGGCUACACCGUCGUCAAGAAACAUGAUAGAAGGCCAAAACGUUAUAAAUUCUGGCAUGAUUAACAUGUUUAGUGCUUUCCGUAAAAGCUCCAGAAAAAAUUGAGCUAUAUUCAUUAGUUUUACAAACAAGUUCUUUGAAAUAUAAGCCUUAUCUGGUCACAGGAAUUCCCGACAGUACUCGAUGGUAUUCGAAAGGAUUCCACUAAGUAUUUUCAUGGUGGUUACCUAUAUAAUCGCGAUUGGCGACCGGGUAUAAAAACACCCACCUAUCGAUGCAACACAAGAUCAAUCACAGCUUGUCCAGGCAAAAUUAUUGACAAUGACGAUUUGUCAAUAGUACAGGUGCGUGAACACAUUCCGCAUCCUAUUGAAGAAGAUUGCCUACAGCAGUAUGAGUUUAGAAAAGAGAUAUAUAGAGUGUGUGAGACAACUUUCGAUCCCUUUGAUGUUAUUUACAAUCAAGUGUCAUUAAGAAAUCGAGUUGGUGCGAGACACUUCACAUUAGAAAGAUUAAGAUCAUGAAUGUUACUUCAUCGACGAUUAAAUGUACCACCUCUUCCGCACAGUCUCGAUGAACUCAAAGAUUCUAUAAGGAUAUUUGCACUAGUAAUCUCUGGAUUUUAUAGGGGGUCAUGUACAGGGACUGAUGGAUCCGUCGCUUUAGUUUUUAUCCAUGAAGAGAUAAUGGAGCCUUUAAGAAAUUGCACUGUGCUUUACAUGGACAGUACAUUUGACCCAAGACCAUGAGAGCCCGCUGUGUCUGUCUAUGUCAAACAGUUAUUUAUUAUACAUUUUACAAGAUUGCUUGUCGGUUUUCCUGUCAUUUACGCUUUAACGAAUCGAAUGACUAGUGCUAUGUACUGUGACGUCAGCCAAUUCACAGCCAAACUUUUUCGAUUCUAAAAAGACAAAUAAUACUUUACAAUCAAAUCAGAAAUCAGAACGUAGAAAACCAUACACUGCAUUUGAACCCAUUACCAUGACUAGCGUCGAUAACUUACCGACAACUGCUAACCCGUUUGAACAUAGAGAGUUGUUACCCCGCGGUACCGACUAUCGUAUGGUAACCGACUACCGUGUGGUAAAUGAGAAAUUAUCCAAAGAAGAUAAAUAAAUCGAAUAACAAACGAGUCAUGCUGCGUAAAAACGCACUUACAAUAUACACAUAUAUUAUUAUUAAUUUACUAACAUUUAUUUCUAUUAUAUCCGUUAGAUUAAGUCAUGACCAUAAGUGCCUUAUAUAAUCUCUCUGCUACGAGUAAAUUUAGAAAUUUAAAAAAUUAUAUUAUUCAUACAUAUAAAACACAUUUUAUUUUAGCUUUAGAAAAACGCACUCUUUCUACAGAAAUCAAUAGUAACAGAAACCAUGAUCAACUACCUCCUGAAAUCCAGUACUAAUAGAAACCAUUAUCAGCCGCCUCUCAAUAGCGUGACGUACCUCCUUAGAUCUCCUGCUCUCCUGAUACUUUUCUCGUCUUUCGGACCUCAUAUCUUCCUUAAUAUUGCAGUCAGAAAAAUAAUGUAAAAUACUAAAAUCAUGUAAAAGCUCUCACCUACAUUUUAGCAUCGAAACCGCAAUGAAAUUUAUAAUAAUUAUUUUAUACUAAAGAACAAAGUUAUAUUAUUCUUCAUGCGUAUAAGAAAGAGGCGUAUAGAGUAAGAAAGUGAUUAUAGCCAACUCCGGUAACACUGCUUUUGUAUUCUGAAACCGAUAAGUCCUCGACUAGACCUCUAACUGAGCAGUCACUUUAUAAUUUUCGCUUGAAUAAAUUUCAUAGUAUUCUUUAA